rnacentral:rRNA from 1 species
AAAUUGAAGAGUUUGAUCAUGGCUCAGAUUGAACGCUGGCGGCAGGCCUAACACAUGCAAGUCGAACGGUAACAGGAAGCAGCUUGCUGCUUCGCUGACGAGUGGCGGACGGGUGAGUAAUGUCUGGGAAACUGCCUGAUGGAGGGGGAUAACUACUGGAAACGGUGGCUAAUACCGCAUAACGUCGCAAGACCAAAGAGGGGGACCUUCGGGCCUCUUGCCAUCAGAUGUGCCCAGAUGGGAUUAGCUUGUUGGUGAGGUAAUGGCUCACCAAGGCGACGAUCCCUAGCUGGUCUGAGAGGAUGACCAGCCACACUGGAACUGAGACACGGUCCAGACUCCUACGGGAGGCAGCAGUGGGGAAUAUUGCACAAUGGGCGCAAGCCUGAUGCAGCCAUGCCGCGUGUAUGAAGAAGGCCUUCGGGUUGUAAAGUACUUUCAGCGGGGAGGAAGGUGUUGUGGUUAAUAACCGCAGCAAUUGACGUUACCCGCAGAAGAAGCACCGGCUAACUCCGUGCCAGCAGCCGCGGUAAUACGGAGGGUGCAAGCGUUAAUCGGAAUUACUGGGCGUAAAGCGCACGCAGGCGGUCUGUCAAGUCGGAUGUGAAAUCCCCGGGCUCAACCUGGGAACUGCAUUCGAAACUGGCAGGCUUGAGUCUUGUAGAGGGGGGUAGAAUUC